GCUUGCUCCAGCAUCGCAUAUACUAGAAUUGCAGAGACAAGAUUAGCAUGUCCCUUGUAAAAGGAUGACAUACAAAUUUGUGAAGGGUACCAGUCUAUA
rnacentral:snRNA from 1 species